UACACCAUUGUUUUUCUUCUUCUCGAUACUAGGUUUGCUCACGGAUUCGUCGCGGAUCGAUCCCUGAUCAAAUGGAUUCAAUUUCUUGGGCUUGAUAAUGCAUCGGUUCAUGCUAAUUCAAUUUUAGACGAAGAAACUAAUCUCCGCUCUUGUCUACGUGUUGUAGCCGGAGCUACUCUUUUUGGCUCCCAACAUUACCUUCUCAUGCGGUUUUAAAAUGUUCAUUACUAUCAAAAAUAGAACUUCCUAAAGACUAAAGACUGAAACUUCUGAAAUUGGCAACUGAGAGAGAGAUAGCCAGAGGAAGAAGAAGCUAGUGACUUAUUUACUCGUUUUGAUACCUAUAUAAUUUAGUAUAUAUGUAGAUUUUACAAAACUUGUCUUAGUCCAGUGGUUUAAUGCUCAGUUUAGUGCUUCUCUAUGUUUGUUUUUGAGUCUUAGUGAGUAUUUUUUCAAUUAGUUUAGUUAAAACGACGUCGGUUGACUAACCAAACGUUAGUUAAAGUAAUUUUUUAUGUUAAUAUUAAAGUUUGGGUAUGAAAUUCAAAUUAUUGUUCAGUUUGGGUAUGAAAUCACACUUACUCAUUGUCCAGGUCUGAAAAUGCAUGACCGAAAUUGUACGGGUUGAAAUCGGCAUUUUUUCUUUAUUCAACUAAGCAGGGUCUAACGGUUGAGUAACGAUAAGUUAGUCAAGGUAUAAUUUCAUGUUACGGAGUCAAGUUUAGGUCGAAAUUUUUUUAAAAACUCAGUUAAGAAAUGAUUUCGCACUUAUAUUUUGUUUGAGUCUAAAAAAGCACGACGUAAAUUGUUGGGGUCUAAAAAUGUCAUUUUCCCCUCUUUUACAUGUCUCUUUGAAAGCCCUAACUUUCCUAAUUAUAAAACAAACUUUGAAACUCUGUUCUGCUGUGCUUAUCUUAGAAACCCUUUCAUAACUUGCGGCUUAGUUGUUCUUGUCUCGGCUUCUCUGAGUAUACAACACACCGUUAUCAAUCUCUUCUUGUCUCGGUUUCUCUGAGUUUUCAACAAUUGUAUGUUUAUUUAAUCACAUAGGACAUUCUUAUGUUGCACGUAUGCACGUGUGAGGUGAGAAAGGCCUUCUAUUCUAUUGAAUGACUUGGUUUUCAAUUUGUUUACUUUUUCAAUGUAUACGUUUAUCUACACAUAUACUACUAUUUACUCUUUUGAAGUCCUCGAUCCAAUCUUGCCAUGGCGCAAAGCCCAUCCUCUCCUAGGAGCGCAUUGGGCUAUUUAAAACACAGCAAGCAAUUCAAAGUAUAUUCUCAAGCACUUGUACAAGUUCUAACCUUAGAUGAAAGUAUGAGAGUGCGAUUAUGUACUUUUUCCAGCUUACACGAAGUCAUAACCUCAUUUUAAAGAAAAUGUUCACUUUGUUCAAAAAAUCAAGUAUAGUCUCUAGAUUUUUUUUUUUUUGGUUUAAAAGCCUAGUUCGUCAUCUGAUGCUAUCGACGUAGACAUCGGAUUUUGACUAGUUUGCAAUAAAAUGAUAUUGUGAUGAAUUAUUUGUUGAUGCAAUAAUUACAAACAAACAAAAGAUUCCUGGAAAAUAUGACCCAUCCGGUUAUGGAUUAGACAAAUGAAAUAACAUAAAGGUAUUGAUUGGACAAACAAUGGCGAUAAAUUAUUUUCCAACUUCUAAAUUCAUAGUUUAUAAUGAUAGAUAGGAUUCGCAGGGAGAAAAAACACAGACCCUAUUUUCUACCUGACGGACUAUAAGAUUUUGUUCAGAGUAGCAACCAAUAUGUUUUCUUAAGCAAUUGAAUCCUAACGAAACUCCAACUUGGUUAAGAAACGUCACCGUCCUCACUUCACUUCUGUAAAUUGUUGUAUUCCUGAUUUGAAAACCAAUCUCCAAAGACUCUCAACAGCCCAAAAUUUCAUUAAAUCUGCAAAUUGAAGAGUUUUGCCACACCAAAAAAAAUUGCAUGAUGCAUAGAUGUGCCAACCUUUCAAUAACUUUAUUUAGUCCAUACGCGAUCAUAUAUCGAAUAGAUGCAUUGAACACCAGCGUUUGUUAUCCUUUGUUUCGUGAUGCAAGUUAUUAUUUAUUAUAGUCAGCGGUCUUUGAAUCAUAAAUACUUUAGAGAGUCUUGUUCACCACUCUAACCAAACAACUUCUUUCAUUGAUUCAGUACAAAUAUAUUUGUGGUUGAUAGUACUAAUAAUUUUUUAUUACACGACGUCCAGCUUAUCAAACAUGGAAUCAAAAGCAGUGCUUGGCCUUCUUUUCUUCUGAUUAUAUGUAUGUGUAAUCAACAUCACAUAAUUCAUAUACAUAGCUAAACAUCAAGUCGAACUAACCAACACCGGAUAAUUCAUAUAUCUGCUCUAUUAAUUAGAAUCGUACUUUUUAUCUACUUAAAAAAUUAUCAUUUAAGUUUGGAUCUAUUCACAAUUCAUUAGAAAUAAUUACAAUAUUCCCUAUUAUUUGCUUGUACAAUAUAACUCCUGUUCAAAAACGUAUAUUCUUAAAUUUUACUCUUCAAUUUGAUUAUUUAUCAAAACUAUACAAUGAUUCCAACGUAACCAUAGUUCACGAUUCAAAAUUAUUAUCCCUAACCAAUUCUGACCAAAUGAAAUACUAAUCACUACAGUGAUUUGAUAUGUUCCACGUGAUCUAUUGUUUUGAGAAGUGAGCCGAUAAAGCUUUUUUACACAUUUACAUGUGUUAUUUUCCUUAUUAGACAUUUCAAUUUUUCUUUCAGAAUUCAAAUCUUAACAAAACAAUAUCAUAAGAUAUAUUAUUCACUAUGCAAUUGUAAUUUAUAUAUAUAUAUAUAUAGUCUGUAAAUUUUAAAUAAAAAUCUACAAAAUUGUCUCGAUGACAAGUUUUAUUAAAAAAAUAAAAUUAUGCAUUAAACUUGCAUUACAUAAAUUUUAUAAUACUGUUUUUAAAUUUUAAAUAUUAAUUAUUAUUUUUAAAUUAUGAUUUCGAAUUUAAAAAUUGUGUUAGAAGUUAGAACACAAUAUGCGCUAUAAUAAAAUUUUCUAAUUUGUAUUAGUCUACUCUUCAUAUGUUCAAAAAUUGAUUUAUUUAACAUUUUAAAAUAUUUUUCAGUAUAUAGUUACAAAUAGAAAAUAGAAAAUCAAAACUUAAAAUAUAAUAAAAAUAAAAUGAUAUCUUUAAUAUAUUAUUUAUCACAAAAUUUAAAUACUUUUAAUAAAAAUAAUCAAAAUAACAAUUUCUUUGAUUAUACAAAUAGAAAUUAAAAUUUAAAAUAAUUUAAAAUAAUCAACUAUAAUCCGCAUUUAACGUGGAUAAGAAUCUAGUUUAUAAUUAAAUCGGUGAUUUUCUUUUAUUAUAAUUUAUGUGCUUUGAUACAAAGAAAAUUGACCUUGCGAUUUCAUAACAAUUGUCACUUUCGCUAUUUCACGAAGUUUUUUACAUUGUAUUCUUAGAAAUUGGAAAAAAUAAAUAAACAUAUUGUCAGAACCCAGUUUAUGACUAAAAGAAUAGAACUGUUACGUCUUACAUUAAAAACCAUUGUAAUAAAACUGAUAAUAUAGUAUUAUAUUUGAAAUAUUACUAAAAUUUAUAAAAAUAUAAUUAUGUAUACGGUUUUACUUUUACAAAAUGUAAUUGGAUUAAUAUUGUUUUUGUUAUUUUCCAAAUGCCAUGAUAAAUUAUUGCAUCCUUGAGAAAACAAUUUAUUGGAUGCCCGCUAAAUUAUGUCACUUUUUAUAAUAAUACACUUUUUCUUGAAUCUAAGAAUUUAUUCGAUAACUAAUUCGUAAAAUUGUCCUGAAAUGUCAUUUGCUAAAUAAUACUGUAUUUUCGUUGCCGACAUUAUAGUUUAAUAAAUACUUUUUAUGCUAAAUGGAAUUUAUUCUAUUGAUGUGAUAUAAUCGGAUAUCCAAUCAUUUAUGAAAACUUUUCCAAUACCCAAAUUUCAAGUCUAGUCAUUUGAAUUGGUUAUUUUUGUUUAAACUGCUUUGAACUGAUUCUUUUUGCAAAUAAAUGUCCUAGAGAUACAUUUUUUCCACUUUUAACUUACGGCUUAAGAUUCUUCUAUAGUUACUACUAUCAAUUAUACGUAUCAUCUAUACAUUUUAAAUAAGGCGAAUAUCCUAGGACACGGUAUCAAAAAAUAAUCGUUUUUCGUCGUCUACAUUGACACAAAACUCUAAUUUGAUAUUCAGAAUCAAUAUAAAUCUGUUUUAAAUUAACGUCAAAAAAAAAAUACAUUUUAAAUUUAGUGGAGAAACAUUAGAUGAUGAUAACCAUGUUACCACUUCCAGUAUUUACACUUUACGGGACACGAUUCAAUGUCUUUGUACUUGUUGAAGUUCAGUGUACAUAAGAUGUCAUUUAAACCUAUAUAAUAUAGAUUCUUUUUUUUUUGGGCCAAAAUAUAAUAUAGAUUCUUAUCACUACUUUCUAUAAAGCUAACAAAAAUUAAGAGUUGAGAGAUUAAUAUUUCAUUAUUUAUGUGCGUGGUAUUUUUUUUUCUUUUGAACACAUGUGCGUACAUAUGAUGAUUUUAUUUUCGUUUGAAGAUUUCAGUUAUAUUAGUUUUAUGGUAUUUUUUUUUUUAAAAUGCCAUCUUAUCAUCUUAUGUUAUGGUCUUUCAUGUUCUUACGAUUUUUUCAUAUGAAAGGUUUUGUGAUAGGUAACUAUGUAUAUGUAUGGAAAUUUUUUUUUUUUCUUUUGUUAGACGAAUGUUAUUAUGUUUAAAGAAAACAAUUUAGUAGCUAGUUUUGUUUUCUGCUAAAUAGAAAUCAGGCCUUCUAAAUAUGACUUGAGUUAUAUGGAUGUGGUUCAACUUCUUUUAAAAUUCCCAAGUCUCUAUAUAACCCAGCAAUUUAAUUUAGUGUUGCCAAGUAAUUUUUCAUUUUGAUAGUUUAAGGAUCGACUGAAGUGAAAAGUGUUAAACACCUGCUUAACAACUAAAGACUUUCUAUUUAAUUGAAAUUUUUAUCUAAGAUAGGCAGAUUAAAAAUGACUUUUCUGAAAAGUAUACUUAUACAAAAAAUUUAACUAAACUCUAAUGUUUACGAAGCUGCAUGUUCUAGAGAAACGACUGCUCUAUUUGGAACAUCAAAGUACAAAUUUAAUACUAAACUAUUACUAUAAUUAUGAUAAAGAUGCAUCUUAGCAAGUUGGUCAUUACAUAAUGAUACUUUAUGUCGUCGAUAUUCUCCUACUCUCUACACAUAUAUACAUUAGUAUAUUGUCAUAUAAAUGCAUCGGUAGAUAUAUAUACACAUAUAUUGAUUUGUGUACGUAUACGUGAGCCUAAUAAUGGAGAAAAGGCUAUGAAAGAAAGCCUAUGUGACACAGAUUUUGUAGGUACUUAUCUUGAAUCUCCGAACUCCACAAGAAGCAAUACACGUACAUAAUUAAAUCUUCUUUUUUUUUUUUUUUGGUCGAACAUAAUUAAAUCUUCUUUAACGUUUAUGUUAUAAACAAUUACUUUGAUUUUUUGGGGUAAAUUAUUUAUAUUCUGAAAGUUGAUUAUUUUUUUAUUUUUUUAUUUUUGGUCAAAACUGAAAGUUGAUUAUUAAGUUCCGAAGUUCCCAUCUAUGAUUCCUAAUUUGAUAAUUUUCCUGUUACAUAUUUCUUCCGAACAUAAGUGAGAUCUCGAAACUAAUAGCUUCGGUUAUUAUCCAAGUAAGCAGAGGGUAUUUCAUUAAAUUCUUAAUGAAUUGUCAUACUUUUUCGUCUUUGCAGACAUAGAAGCAACGAGUAGAAUAUCGACGUGUACUAGUAGUAGGUUCGGUGUAUAGACAAAAUUAAGAUUCCUAAUUUUUUACUCUUUGGAAAAUAUAUGCUUAUGUACUUAUUUAUAUCAAAAAGCAAGUUUCCCGGGAACAAGGUCCGGCCGCUUGAGUGGAAAGCAGACAAUUAUUAUGAACACAUAAAGCAAAUUUCGAAAUUUUAAUUGAUUACAGAAAAAAAAAACUUAUAUAAAAUUCAGCAUAAUGAAGAAGUAUCCAUGCUUGUUUAAUUAAAAUCACUUGGUAUUGUCGUCGAAUUUGUUGCAAGUUUUUCUUUACACCCUGUAUAUUGGAAGUUCUUAUAAACACUACAGAAAAUGAAUUGAUGGUUGUUGUACAUACCAAUUUAAUUGAUAAUAACAUAAACAUUGACUUCUUAAGACCAUAAACAAUCAAAAAUAAAGAAAGAUUUUACCACACAAAAAAAAAGAAUAAAGAAAGAAUUAUAUUUUACCCAAAAAAAACAUCAAAGAAUAAUCAUGUAAACUAGUUUUCCUGUUUUGUGUAAGCGUAAAACGCUAAAAUAUUUCAAACAAAAAGGUGGAGAAAAUAUUAACCAUCCACUUAUUCAAUAAACAUAAAUAAUUCAAAUUGCUAGUGCAACAAAAAAACAAAAAAAAAUACACAAAAGGUUUCGCCUAUGUUUUACAUUUGUUUUGCUAUAUAAAGCCAUUAAUCCUACAUGCUCUUUAGACAUCUCUUCUUCUCUCAUCUAUCUUUUCUUCUCUUUUUAUCUCACAUAAGCUCUUUUUUACAUAAAUCCAUAUGGUGCCUCAAAGCAAUCCAUGGUCUAGGGUUUGUUUUGAAGAUUGAUUCUAGCACACAUAGAAAAAAAUCUGUGCAUCAAGAAUGAAAAACAUGGGGCAUAUAUAUACGUUUUACUGUUUUGUGCUCUAUAUGUCCAUAUACUUAUUAUAUAUGUACAUAUAUAGCUGUAGAAAUGUUAAUAUGGUCAGGGAUGCUGGGUUGGUGGGGGAAGGGAGCUUUCUUCGGUCCACUCAUAGAAUAAUAUGAUUCAGUCGUGGACCUCCCUGAACAUCUUCCAGACUAAUCUAUGAAGGCUUAUGUUUUUCUUUGUAAUGAGUUGGGAUCUAAAGAAAUGAAGUUUCACUACUAGAAGCAAUAACAAUAUACAAGAUAAGGCUUCUACUAGCUCAUCUAUCCAAAUAACUUCGCUUCUUUCUUUUUGUGGGGGUCAAAACUUCGUUUCUUUCUAUUCCAUGUAAACUAUCAUGUUUCUGGCGUUCGCUCAAUUAAAGGCGACUUGCAAAUAGAUUAUAAGCUAUCACAAGCUAUUACGCAA